CUCUUAAAAGGAGUAACCCCAGAGUGCAGUCUGGACGAUGGGGCGGGGCGACACUUCGAGGCGGAGCGACACGUGUCGCCCCGCCCAUAUUUGUUUUCCCCGCCUUUGACAUUUUCCUCCGAGCCAGCAGGGGGCAGUUUGCGUUGAAACAAACAGAACGGUGGCAACUACAGCAGCAGAGUAAUAACGCUAUUCCGUUGAUUGCUUGAGGAUGACAUGAUCAGGAGGUGGUGGUGUUCUGUUCUCCUGGACAGCUUUACUCCGCAAAUAGCUCAACCACUGAGAGGAGGAACUUCACCAUUCACCAUGUCUUCAGGCAGAGUCCAGCAAAGCAGCUUCCACUGGAAAUCCUCAGGGAAGUUAUUUUGUCGGCGGGUGACUCUGCAUAUUUGACACUUUCUCUGGUUUGCAGAUGGUUUAGGGUUGUGCUCCGAAGUUUUUCGGAAAGCGGCACAGUUUGCCUGGCUAGAGAUUGUGGCCAACUGGAAGAAUUGUCCUCCUGUCUCCUGACCGGAACGAGUUCAGACGGAUGUACAGCAUCAGGGAAUGCUUGCAGUGCAGAGCCCUUUUCAAGUUUAACCCACCACCCUGGGUGGGAAGAGGGAAGAGACCGGCGUGGUGAUCUUCUGGGCUUUUGUUUACACAGGAUUUUGUUCCAAGGACUGUUUUUUUUUUUUUGCGGCAUGAAACACAUUUGUGUGUUAAGUUCAUUGAAGGGAAAUAGAGAAUGGGCUGAGAUCAACUGGUUUUGAUUAUUAAUUGAUGUAAUUUAAAGUUAAACUUUGCACUGUAUAAUGUUUUAAUAAAAAAGCUAUGGAAAACA